rfam:Rattus norvegicus chromosome 11, whole genome shotgun sequence.
GGGGAUUUAGCUCAAUGGUAGAGCGCUUGCCUAGCAAGCACAAGGCCCUGGGUUCGGUCCCCAGCUCCG